GCCCGAAUGGCGGAAUUGGUAGACGCAGGGGACUUAAAAUCCCCCGCCGUUAUAGGCGUGCUGGUUCGAGUCCGGCUUCGGGUA
rnacentral:tRNA from 2 species